AGUUUGCUCAACUCUUAUCUGGCUUUUGAAGGCUAGUUAAGCUUGGUUGGAUGAUGGAAGUUGCUGGCUUCUGAUGAUAAAUCAGCUCUUCUUAAAUGUGUUAGCAGACCUUUUGCUGAUCGUCUUUGGUAUGAUAAAUUAUCUAUACCACAGACAAUUGGUUUGGAUGGGGUUUAGCUUAUAAAGGUCUUUUUUUUCUGUGGACAACUUGACAAU
rnacentral:misc_RNA from 1 species